rnacentral:lncRNA from 1 species
AUGCGAGUGUCCCCACCAGCAGCCUACACUGCUGUGCCACACAGCUUCCCCACCAAGACAUUUUUGAAGAAGCAUCAGGAGGGAAGCUGCCUUACCUGGUUACGACGCGUGCAGGUAACCUUGGUCUGGUGGAGAACUGAGCCGGGUUUCAGUGUGGUGAGAACUAUUUCCUUUCUUCACCCUCACUUCUCAGAUGCGGACCUUCGGGAGACUCAGAAGUGUGCAGUGCUUGCAAUGAGCCUGGAUUUAUGGAGGUGCUGAACUCCAGGCCUUGUCUUCCUAGUGCCAUGAGCCCACUAAAUCUCUGGUCGACAGCUGUUGUACAGUCUCUUAGACGGUGCCACGUGGACCGUGCAGGCUGAUUUGCCUUGAGGGGAAAUCACAGAGAAUGUGGGGCUCACUUUGCUAGGACGCUGGCUCCUCAAACCUAUUCAGUUUGAAUUCUGCUUUCAUCUCCCCAGCACAGGGAGACUCUUGCACACUAGAUCAUACUAUUUGCUUCUCUGGCCUUUAUGCCCCCAGAAAAUUCCCCGAGAAAACAGCAGGGGCAGCUACCUGACUCACUGCAAUGAGUUUUAUUUCUCUCCAGGAUCUUGACCUAUUAAUCCUGGUUGCUCUGGUUCCUAUCUGCUGUUUUUAUAGUUGUUUUACUUGGGAGGACUGCUUUGUCCUGCCUUUAUGGUUGCUUUUGUGGGAGGGCUGGUCUGAUCCAAGCCACACUUUCACAGAUGGAAGUACAAGUUUCCCUUGCCUUAAAUUUUAGAGAGAUGUUGUCAGAAAUCUGCACUACGCCUGGGAAGUAUGCUUCCUGUGCUGUGCCAGUAUGGAAGGCUUCUUGCGAUGUGUGUCUUCUCAGCCUCAUUGCUUUAUCUGACAUUUGACCUCAAGCAAAUUUAGAGGAUUCUGACAGCUUGGCCACGUGUUCUGUAGCUUUCCAUCGGUCUCUGAGGGCCUGAAGUCCCUCACACUAGUCUCUGGGGGGACAGGGUGGCUUCUUUGGCUGCUUAGCAGCUGGGAGUGGGGGCUGUGGUGGCAUGAGCAGAUUCUCCAAGGAUGGGCGUGGCUUGGUCUAGAAGAAUCCUUUGGGGUAAAAUCUAGAUUUUUGUCAUCCAAAACCCAACAAGAGAAACUGGCUCAAGUAAACAAUUCUGUUGUAAGAUGUGGCUGUUGCCAUGCCUGGGGAAAUGGUUUCCAUAGGAAUUAAUAGUAGAAAAUCAUUACUUUUAAGCUGGGAAGGAAUGACACUUAAGUAUCCAGAAGA